rnacentral:rRNA from 1 species
AAUACGUCAGCGGCAGACGGGUGAGUAACACGUGGGAACGUACCUUUUGGUUCGGAACAACUGAGGGAAACUUCAGCUAAUACCGGAUAAGCCCUAACGGGGAAAGAUUUAUCGCCGAAAGAUCGGCCCGCGUCUGAUUAGCCAGUUGGUGAGGUAAUGGCUCACCAAGGCGACGAUCAGUAGCUGGUCUGAGAGGAUGAUCAGCCACACUGGGACUGAGACACGGCCCAG